rnacentral:rRNA from 1 species
CCUACGGGGGGCUGCAGUAACGAAUCUUCCGCAAUGCCGGCAAGGGUGACGGAGCGACGCCGCGUGGAGGACGAAGUCCUUCGGGAUGUAAACUCCUGUCAGGGGAUACCGGGUCCCCAGAGGAAGGCACGGCUAACUCUGUGCCAGCAGCCGCGUUAAGACAGAGGUGCCGAGCGUUAGGCGGAAUCACUGGGCUUAAAGCGUGUGUAGGCGGGCCGGUAAGUGCCCCGUGAAAUCCCCCGGCUCAACCGGGGAACGGCGGGGCAUACUGGCGGCCUUGAGCCACUUAAGGGCAGACGGAACAAGCGGUGGAGCGGUGAAAUGCGUAGAUAUCGCUUGGAACGCCGACGGCGAAAGCAGUCUGCUGGGUGUGCUGACGCUGAGACACGAAAGCCAGGGGAGCGAACGGGAUUAGAUACCCUUGUAGUC